CUCACCAUGUAGCCAGGCUGGCCUUAAACUCUCAGAGAUCCUCCUGUCUCCGUCUUCUGGGCACUAGGAUGACGGUGUGUGCCACCACAUCCAGCUUGUAACUUCAGAGUCUUAAAGUACAUGCCUAACAUUAGACUUUCCCAGAACAUAACCAUCACAACGCCAAAUGUUGCCUUCUUAAGGACUCUGCUGAGGGAACUGUCUACCCACCUGUACCCCA
rnacentral:lncRNA from 1 species